GUAACAGCAUGAGUACAAUGUAUGUGAGAAUGCAGAACACGGAAGAUGAAAACACACCACACAGGUCAGGCACGGUGGCUCACGCCUAUAGUAAUCCCAGCACUCUGGAACACUGGCAGGUGGCUCACCUGAGGUCAGGAGUUCGACACCAGCCAGGCCAACAUGGCAAAACCCCGUCUCUACCAAAAAUAUAAAAAUUAGCUGGGCGUGGUGGUGUGCGCUUGUAAUCCCAGCUACUCAGGAGGCUGAGGCAGGAGAAUCGCUUGAAGCCAGGAGGCGGAGGUUGCAGUGGCCCAAGAUCGCACCAUUGCACUCCAGCCUGGGUGACAAGAGCAAAACUCCAUCUCAAAAAAAAAAAAAAGGAAAAUAUUAUUUAUAAAAUAGAAAAUUAAAAAAAAAUUUUUAAAUACACAUUUUUAAAAACCACUUGCAGGCUCUCACACACUGCACAUCCAGGAUUCACACGCAGGCAGCCUGGCUCUAGACGCGGGGCUCCAGUGCCUCCGGUGUCUCAGCCCGUGACUUCCCUGCUCCCAACCUCAGGACCCAGGUAAGCAUCAGAAUCUCCUGCAGAGCUUAUUGGAGGAACACGCAGGUCCCCAGAGACCACUUCAAUAGCCCCCACCCAGGGGACACAUGUUCUCAGGACCUCCUAAGGCUGUGUCUCACACACACACACACAAAACCCACCCAGAGAAGUCUAGAAGUGUCCAAAGGUAUUCCCAGCCCUUCCAGUUCAAGAUUUUAUCAAAGACUCCAACUUCAAUGUUUUGUUUCCAAGACUCAGGCGCUCUGAUCCUAAGUGUUCCCAUGAGGUCACGAAGGCCCGAGCCUCGAGUCCACAUCACCACAUACAGAAGCAGCCGCUGUCUGGCCCUCAGCUUUUAGGAUUCCGAAUCUGGUUCUAACGUUCUGAAUCCCCUUUCCAUGUCACGUCACCUUCUCUCUCUGAGCCUCGUUUCUUCACCUGUAAAUGGGGCUUCUGACUGUACCCGCUUGGCGACAGUGGCUGAGGUUUCAAUGAGAUGCAUUC
rnacentral:lncRNA from 1 species